AUGUGGCUGUUGUGCAAUCCGUCGUUGCUUCAAUCCAUAAAGCAUCCCACAACUGUGUGUGCAAAAUGGGCUAAAAACUACAGGAUUAGGAUUGGCAAAGUGUUAGAUGAGACGGAAAGCAAUCCAAGUCGAGUUCCUGCGCUCGAGGCUUCGAUGCGUGCUUAUGCAGACAAGAAAGUUGGUACUAUUGUUCAUCCUGUAUUGGGGAAAAGUUUUGACUUGGUCGAAGAACCUUACGAGUUUUACAAUAUUACUCAUGGGAUACUGUGUUUUGGCGUCAGGUGUGCUAAAAGCCGGUUGAACGUUCAUCAGAAAAAAUGCAUCCAGGAAAUUGUGUGCAUGUGUGCGGGGCAGAGCACAACCAGACUUUCUGUCAACUAUAUGGAGAAAUUACACUGGAAGUCUCAUCGGCACAUAGAUAGAUACACAAGGGACCUUGUGAAACAGCCGAGGGAAAAAUUAAAAGAGGCGCCAUUCACCAAAAGGUCUCUGAAGAAGCUUAACCAAGAGCAAUCAGGAAAUGAUGCAACAAAGACCAUAGAGGUGUUCAACGCGAUGAGGGGUGAAGAUCCUGAUUUCACAUACAGUGUACAGGUUAACGAGGUGGGUCGAGUGAAAAAUCUGAUGUGGACAAUGGGAAAAAUCCAACACAAAAGUGGAGGCCAAAAUCCAGCACAGAGUGCCUCGCAAUGUUCUGAUUGUUUUGCAGCACCGACAAAGAAAAGGCAGCUGGAUGCCCUAGCACAAGUCGCGGCAAAGCACCAUAUGAGCAACCAAAAAAGAGGUCUAGGUUCUGUUCUAUCUGCAGAGGUUAAGGUCACAAGAGCACCACUUUUCCGCAACGAGGAGAUCUUCCAAAGGCGCCGAGGAAGUCGCCUCGAUGCUCCAGAUGCAGCUGGUGAGGUCACGGGAAGAACACUUGCACCAACCCGCCCAAAGCAGACUUUGGAGACUGAUUUUAGAAUGGCUCGUAUUUGA
rnacentral:rRNA from 1 species